rnacentral:rRNA from 1 species
AACGAACGCUGGCGGCAUGCCUAACACAUGCAAGUCGAACGAGAACGCCGGGUCUAGUGGCGCAGGGGUGCGGAACACGGGGGAAGCAGCACGUAGGUACGGUAUAACUCCCCGAAGGGGGAGCUAAGAAAGGAGAAGGUAAUCGGAGCAAAGAUCUAUCGCCUUAGGCUGGGGGCGUGUUGGAUUAGCUGGUUGGUAGGGUAAAAGCGUACCAACGGGACGAUGCAUGGCUGGUCUGAGAGGAUGCUCAGCCACGCUGGGACUGAGACACGGCCCAGACGCCUACGGGAGGCAGCAGUGGAGUAUAUUGUACACUGAACCAAGGCCUGAUCCAGCCAUGCCGCGUGAGUCGUGAAUGCCUUAGGGUUCUACAGCUCUUUUACCCGGGAUGUUAGUGACAGUACCGGGAGAAUAAGCUCCGGCUAACUCCGUG